rnacentral:rRNA from 1 species
AACGAACGCUGGCGGCAGGCCUAACACAUGCAAGUCGAGCGCCCUUUCGGGGGAGCGGCGGACGGGUGAGUAACGCGUGGGAAUAUGCCCUUCUCUACGGAAUAGCCUCGGGAAACUGAGAGUAAUACCGUAUACGCCCUAUGGGGGAAAGAUUUAUCGGGGAAGGAUUAGCCCGCGUUGGAUUAGGUAGUUGGUGGGGUAAUGGCCUACCAAGCCGACGAUCCAUAGCUGGUUUGAGAGGAUGAUCAGCCACACUGGGACUGAGACACGGCCCAGACUCCUACGGGAGGCAGCAGUGGGGAAUCUUAGACAAUGGGGGCAACCCUGAACUAGCCAUGCCGGGGGAGUGAUGAAGGCCUUAGGGUUGUAAAGCUCUUUCAGCUGGGAAGAUAAUGACGGUACCAGCAGAAGAAGCCCCGGCUAACUCCGUG